UACGUAGGUGGCGAGCGUUGUCCGGAUUUACUGGCGUAAAGAGCGCGCAGGCGGUCGUACAAGUCGCGUGUGAAAGCCCCCGGCUCAACUGGGGAGGGUCACGCGAUACUGUUCGACUCGAAGGCAGGAGAGGGAAGUGGAAUUCCCGGUGUAGUGGUGAAAUGCGUAGAUAUCGGGAGGAACACCAGUGGCGAAGGCGACUUCCUGGCCUGUUCUUGACGCUGAGGCGCGAAAGCUAGGGUAGCAAACG
rnacentral:rRNA from 1 species